UACCAGCACCCCGAGUGGUCGGGACGUUUUAUUGGGCCUAAAGCAUCCGUAGCCGGUUCUACAAGUCUUCCGUUAAAUCCAACUGCUUAACAGGUGGGCUGCGGAAGAUACUAUAGAGCUAGGAGGCGGGAGAGGCAAGCGGUACUCGAUGGGGUAGGGGUAAAAUCCGUUGAUCCAUUGAAGACCACCAGUGGCGAAGGCGGCUUGCCAGAACGCGCUCGACGGUGAGGGAUGAAAGCUGGGGGAGCAAACCGG
rnacentral:rRNA from 1 species